GUAAGAGAUGCAUUGUGUUUCUGUGUGUAUGUAAGAAAAGAAGUGUGUGUGUUUGCAUGUGUGUGUACGGGUUUGCAUUGUCUGUUUCUGUGUAUGUGUGCAAAGGAUGCAUUGUGUUUGUGUGUAAGGGUUGCAUGUGUGUGUGUGUGUGUAAUGGAUGCAUUGUGUGUUUCUCUGUGUGUAAGGGAAGCAUGUUGUGUUUCUGUGUAUGUAUAGGGAUGCA